AACGAACGCUGGCGGCGCGUCUUAAGCAUGCAAGUCGAACGGCAAGGGCAGCAAUGCCCCUAGAGUGGCGGACUGGUGAGUAACACGUGGGUGACCUACCCUUAAGUUGGGGAUAACCAUUAGAAAUAGUGGAUAAUACCGAAUACGCUUGCGACACUUUGGUGAUGCAAGGAAAGGAGCUACGGCUCCGCUUAUGGAUGGGCCCGCGUCCCAUUAGCUAGUUGGUGAGGUAAAGGCCCACCAAGGCGACGAUGGGUAUCCGGCCUGAGAGGCGGAACAGCCACACUGGGACUGAGACACGGCCCAGACUCCUACGGGAGGCUG
rnacentral:rRNA from 1 species